CAUGCAGUCGACGGUGAAGCCCAGCUUGCUGGGUGGAUCAGUGGCGAACGGGUGAGUAACACGUGAGUAACCUGCCCCUGACUCUGGGAUAAGCCUUGGAAACGAGGUCUAAUACCGGAUACGAGACGCUCGGGCAUCCGAAGUGUCUGGAAAGAUUUAUCGGUCAGGGAUGGACUCGCGGCCUAUCAGCUUGUUGGUGGGGUAGUGGCCCACCAAGGCGACGACGGGUAGCCGGCCUGAGAGGGCGACCGGCCACACUGGGACUGAGACACGGCCCAGACUCCUACGGGAGGCAGCAGUGGGGAAUAUUGCACAAUGGGCGCAAGCCUGAUGCAGCGACGCCGCGUGAGGGAUGAAGGCCUUCGGGUUGUAAACCUCUUUCAGCAGGGAAGAAGCGCAAGUGACGGUACCUGCAGAAGAAGCGCCGGCUAACUACGUGCCAGCAGCCGCGGUAAUACGUAGGGCGCAAGCGUUGUCCGGAAUUAUUGGGCGUAAAGAGCUCGUAGGCGGUUUGUCGCGUCUGCUGUGAAAACUCGAGGCUCAACCUCGGGCUUGCAGUGGGUACGGGCAGACUAGAGUGCGGUAGGGGAGACUGGAAUUCCUGGUGUAGCGGKGGAAUGCGCAGAUAUCAGGAGGAACNCCGAUGGCGAAGGCAGGUC
rnacentral:rRNA from 1 species